rnacentral:rRNA from 1 species
AUUGAACGCUGGCGGCAGGCCUAACACAUGCAAGUCGAACGGUAACAGAAAGCAGCUUGCUGCUUUGCUGACGAGUGGCGGACGGGUGAGUAAUGUCUGGGAAACUGCCUGAUGGAGGGGGAUAACUACUGGAAACGGUAGCUAAUACCGCAUAACGUCGCAAGACCAAAGAGGGGGACCUUCGGGCCUCUUGCCAUCGGAUGUGCCCAGAUGGGAUUAGCUAGUAGGUGGGGUAACGGCUCACCUAGGCGACGAUCCCUAGCUGGUCUGAGAGGAUGACCAGCCACACUGGAACUGAGACACGGUCCAGCCUCCUACGGGAGGCAGCAGUGGGGAAUAUUGCACAAUGGGCGCAAGCCUGAUGCAGCCAUGCCGCGUGUAUGAAGAAGGCCUUCGGGUUGUAAAGUACUUUCAGCGGGGAGGAAGGGAGUAAAGUUAAUACCUUUGCUCAUUGACGUUACCCGCAGAAGAAGCACCGGCUAACUCCGUG